AGAGCGAACGCUGGCGGCAGGCCUAACACAUGCAAGUCGAGCGCCCCGCAAGGGGAGCGGCAGACGGGAGAGUAACACGUGGGAACGUACCCUUUGGUUCGGAACAACACAGGGAAACUUGUGCUAAUACCGGAUAAGCCCUUACGGGGAAAGAUUUAUUGCCAAAGGAUCGGCCCGCGUCUGAUUAGCUUGUUGGUGAGGUAACGGCUCACCAAGGCUACGAUCAGUAGCUGGUCUGAGAGGAUGAUCAGCCACAUUGGGACUGAGACACGGCCCAAACUCCUACGGGAGGCAGCAGUGGGGAAUAUUGGACAAUGGGCGCAAGCCUGAUCCAGCCAUGCCGCGUGAGUGAUGAAGGCCCUAGGGUUGUAAAGCUCUUUGUGCGGGAAGAUAAUGACGGUACCGCAAGAAUAAGCCCCGGCUAACUUCGUGCCAGCAGCCGC
rnacentral:rRNA from 1 species